rnacentral:lncRNA from 1 species
GAGGCACUCGGCUUCGCAACCUGGGUGUGCCUGGCCUGGGUGUGCGGGAGGACCCCAGAGGACCCCAGAGGACCCCAGGAGCAGGGGUCGCGCCGAAGAGCAGAGUCCGCGGCUGGAAACCAGGCAGGGGAGCCACGGAGUAGUCACACAGGUUUUCUGCCGCCUUUCAACUGGUCUUAUUUUGCUUUCAUUUUUCACCAGCCCAUGUGGGGUGUUUAAUGUUGCACGCGAACGCAGUUUCUUCCGGGCCCGGAAGGCCCACGCACGCAACAAUGUUGUGCAAGUGACUGGAAACCACCUGAGUGUCCCUCCAUGGGGGUGGGUUGCCCAGCAUGGACCUCUACUCCUGUCACAAUGAAGUCGACUGUUUCGUCGAGGGAAGUGGCCACCGUUGAUAAAAUGAAAAGACGCCAUGCAGAAUACUGUGCACAGGAGGAAAGGUCUGCGUGCCCUAAGAGAGAGCUGCUGGCGUGCAGAGAGAAGCAGAGAUGCCGACGACGGGGAGGAAACACACUGGCGGUGGUGAGGCUCCUUCCAGCAGCCACAGCCCUGGUUCCUCUCAGUCUGUGACCCUCCCACAUCCUUCCCAUCUAUGAGAGCCUGAUCUGCGGAGAUGGACAGGACAGGAGACUAAGGAGGUGAGAACCCUGGCCCACACCAUCACUAAGGGCCCUUCCUGAGGUCUGCUUCCCACAUGAAGUCCUCCCAGGGCCCUGAAUCCAGCCAUCCACCUCCUUGUUGGACAUAGGCUCCAUUAGAGAGAUGCGGGGCUCCAGCCCCCCUUGCUCUGCCUCCCUGUGAGAAGUUGCUGACAGUGAAGGAAAGGUCAGUGAGUCCUGCUAAUUAAAAAACACUUUGCCCCAUCCGAUUUCCCCUGACACAAGGUCACUCAGCACUAGCGCAAUUAAGUCUCAGCCCAGGACUGACUCUUUUUAACUCAAAGGGCGGGAGGGAACUCCAGGACCCCAGAUGGCAAACUGGCUCACACCGUGGACAACCUCCCACAAGGCCCUCCCAGGUCCCCUGGUACCCACUAGAGACCACACAGCCUGCCAGCUCUGCCUGCUGCCUGACUCACUGCAGACGAGUCCAUCCACACCACAGGCCCUGCCCACUGGGCUUGAGACUACUCGGACCCAGAGCAAGGAGAAGCAGGGUCCUUGCCUUGCAAAUGACUGAGAACUUGAGUGAGCCAGACUCCCCCAGGCCAGGGGAGCCCUGUGCCCCCAAUCUCUGUUCCCUCCCCAGUGGAACAACCAGGGCCGAAUUGUAAACCUUUCCUCAUUCAAUUCUUAGAACAGUAUUAUGAGGAAGGUAAUUUCAUUAUCUCAAGUUCAUAUUUGAGGAAAGUGAGGCAUAAGUUCACAUAGCUGCUAAUGAUGGAUCCAGGACUUAAACCCAGGUCUCAUGGAACCCUGAGUAACCCCUCCCCUCCCCACGCCCCAGGCUCUUGUUUUCAGCUGGACAGUCCUUCCAGGGUCACACUACUACAGACCCAAGAGCUACUGCUCAGCCUACCCCUCCCCAGUGACCAAAUCUGGAGGGCACUGAAGGAAUUCAUGUGCCGUCUGUCCCUUAAUCUGAACACAGAGCACACACAUCUCUGGCCCCAUGGAGCCCACAUCCCCAACCAGUGUGACAAGGAGCCCACCAUCUCCAGGCCGCCCUGUGGAGCAGAAAGAAGGCUGACCAGAGGCUGUGAACCAGGCAAAUCCACCCACCACAGACUGGGCCCUAAGUUCCCUAUAAAGGGAGAUUUAGAAAGCCAGGAAAUCCAGUGCCAAGGUUCACUUCCCUAAACCAUGGGGCCUGGGGCACAGACCACUGCUGUCUUCCAAUAUCUGGCCUCUCUUCUUUCUCCUACACACACAGCUAGACCUUUGCAUCAUUUCAGGUGGCUUGUGAGUUCUGGCCAGCAGAAUGUGAGAACAAGCAGAGUACUCUCCAUCUUCCCUCCCUGAUCCUCACCUCUUCCCCAACCACCAGCUGACUAGAGAUGCCUCCAACAGCUACAGGAGGCUGGACCCACAACAGGAAAGGAACCUGGGUCCAUGAAAGACUGUGUGGAGCAGAGAAUCCCCCACCCUAGUUCCCAGCAACUACCAGAGACUGUGGCAUGAGCAAAAAAAUAAACAUUUUUCUUUCCUUUUUUUUUUUUUUUGAGAUGGAGUCUCACUCUGUCACCCAGGCUGGAGUGCAGUGGCGUGAUCUCGACUUACUGCAAGCCCCGCCUCCUGGGUUCAAGAAAUUCUACUGCCUCAGCCUCCAGAGUAGCUGGGACUACAGGCACCUGCCACCACACCUGGCUAAUUUUUUGUAUUUUUAGUAGAGACGGGGUUUCACUGUGUUAGCCAGGCUGGUCUCAAUCUCCUGACCUCGUGAUCCGCCCGCCUCAGCCUCCCAAAGUGUUGGGAUUACAGGCGUGAGCCACCGCACCCGGCUAAAUAAACAUUUUUCAAAGCCUCCCAAGUAUAGGUAAUGUUUGUUACAGUGGUUAGUCUAUUCUGGCUCUAUCCUUCUGUAACCACCGAAGGGCUGGUUAAAACAUUUUAUUGGGCCCCAUCCCAGUUUUUGGUCCCAUAGGCCUGAAGGAAGGGGCAUACAAUUUGCAUUUUUAUUUAUUUAUUGAAACAGAGUUUCGCUCUUGUUGCCCAGGCUGGAGUGUAAUGGCACAAUCUCGGCUGACUGCAACCUCUGCCUCCCGGGUUCAAGUGAUUCUCCUGCCUCGGUCUCCUGGGUAGCUGGGAUUACAGGCGCCCACAACCAUGCCCGGGUCAUUUUUUGUAUUUUUAGUAGAGACAGGGUUUCACCACAUUGGCCAGGCUGGUCUCGAACUCCUGACCUCAGGUGACCCACCCGCCUUGGCUUCCCAAAGUACUGGGAUUACAGGCACGAGCCACCACACCUGGCCUGAAUUUGCAUCUUUUAACAAGUGCUGGGGGUAAUGCUGCAGCUGCUGCUGGUCUGGGGUGAUGUUGUGGCUGCUGGCCUUGUGAACCACUGCCCAAGUGCGUAGCUGCAGUGUGGGAGUUACUAUCCCAUUUUGCUGAGGAAAUGGUACCCAGUUCCUGGCCGUCAUGGGCACUGAGCUGCCUUCCUGCUGUGCCUCGUCAGUGCCUGCCUACAUCGUUGCUCAUUGAUCAUGGCCUGCGAGUUAGUGUCAUCAGAGGAAGGGAGAAGAGUUCCUAGAGUGGAAACCCUGGGCUGUAAGCCCGGUUCUACCACCUCCCAGCUGUCUGGCAGCAGGCAAGUUCCUCAGUCUAAGUCUCUUUCCUCUGGUGUAAAAGGGGAAAAGGGUGUUCGUUUGCUCCCCACCCCCAUCAGCCUGGCAGCUUUGUGCCCACAGUAGAUUUUCUAUGAGGACCUCUCACUGAUGCACUUGAGUGGCAGAGACUUGGGACUAAAGGAGGACUUCUGGCCCCAGAUGCCCCAGUGCCAGCCUCACCCUUGAGGGCCACAGUGAGCACCCACGUGUCUCACCGCCUCCAAGGCAGCUGAGACCUCUCCUGGUACAGGCUUACAGGGGGGAAGGCGGAAUUGUACAGGGAAAAAAAACCUCAGACUACAGUCACAAAUUUUACAUGCACACCUUUGCCAGUUAUGAGAAUUGUGUUGCAAAGAGGAAGGAGUGGAGAGUUUACCAGCCAAGGGCUGGAGGACCCCAACACUCCAGUUUCUUAGAACAUUCAUUGCAGGUACUCUUUUAUACUACCAAAGUCCUCCCACCCCAUCCCCCACCAACCACAGCUUCCAGGAAUCACUGAGAUUCACAGAGAAAGGAAGUAAACACAAUUAAGAACAAAGUUAUGUUGAAAAGAUAUUUCAAUGCACAUGUUGCAAACAAGGCGAGUCCCAGGAAUCAUUCCGAAGAAAAAGACAGAAUGACACUGAAAUCCAUCAUGAUGGUUAUCCCAUCAUGAUGGGAGUAAAGCCUUUAAGGGAGUAAAGCCUUAAAGAUCUCCUUGUCAGAUGAGACUUUUAGAACAGACCCGACAUUCUGUUGACUUAGAAGAGCUGAUGUCAUCCUCAGAGCCCAGGUGAUACACACAUUCCUGGAUGUGGCCACAGGGUGGAUGAUAGUACCCUCAGCUGAGAUGGGAAUAGGGGGCAGAGCAGUUUUGGAUGUGGGUGGAAUUGGGGGUUGGAGAAAGAGAAGCAAAGUUCAGCGGUUUGGGAUGCAGCCACUGAGGUGUCUGCAGGAGUGGAUGGAGAGGCAGAACAAGCAUUUGAGGACACUCAGGCUCUCUGGGUAGCAGACAUGGCCUGAGUGAUUUCAUUUACUACUGAGAGGACAGUGAGUGCCCCGGGCUGCCUCCCAGAGUGGCUGGCCCUUACCUAGGGCACCUGGUGGAUGCUCUAACCCUCAGGAUUCACUUUUCACCAUGAGAUAUUGACUCCUUUAAAUUUCUGCCUGUGUCCUAUUUUAAAAGUGGCUCUGCUGGAUGGACAAGUGGUGGAAGGAAAUUUGGAAUAAGCAACAGAGAUUCUGGUUGUCUUCAGUAAAAAACUAUGCAUUGGGGCCGGGCGUGGUGGCUGACGCCUGUAAUCCCAACAUUUUGGGAGGCCGAGGCGGGUGGAUCACCUGAGGUCAGGAGUAUGAGACCAACCUGGCCAACACAGUGAAACCCUGUAUCUACUAAAAAUACAAAAAUUAGCCAGUUGUGGUGGCAUGCGCCUGUAAUCCCAGCUACUCAGGAGGCUGAGUCAGGAGAAUCACUUGAACCCGGGAGGCAGAGGUUGCAAUGAGCCAAGAUUGCACCACUGCGCUCCAGCCUGUGUGACAAGAGGGAAACUCUGUCUCAAAAAAAAAAAGAAAGAAAAUAGAACUAUGCAUUGCUUAGGGUGCACCCUUCCAAUUAUCUGAUUCUAGUCUUUCACUGCCUUUGAGCUAUUUUUACAACUAAGUUGUAGAGUUAAUGCAAAAUAAUUCUUGUCUAUGGAUGUGCAUAUUAUACGAAUAAGAUUCAAUUGACCUUUCUCCUCAAAAAAAAAAAAAAAAAAAAAAACCCCAGCCAGUUUCAACUUUCCUUUACUCCAUACAGAUUUAUGGUUCAUUGUGAUUUCUCUUUUGAACUGGCUGUUAAUCUUAGCAGCACUCUCAAUUACUGAGUUAAAUAAAAUCUUUGACAUGUGUACAUGUAAUAUAUAUGAGUUAUGCCUUUUUUUAAAAAAUUAUCUUUAACAGAAGGCACGGGAAGGACCACUACCUCUCAGAGAUGGAAAGGCUUGCCAUGGUCCACGCAGCACAAAGCCCACCCCCAGCCAUAUCAUCCCAGACAGGAAGGGUGUAGCCUGGGCUUGCAUACCUCCAAGGACAGGGUGCUCAGUCCCUCCUAGAGGCCACUUCACUUCUUCCCAUAUUGGCUCACAGCUGUGACUUUAAAACACAGAACGAGUGCAUAUCUAAAACUAGAAGAAAACACUAUGGUCCUUCCUGCUGACAGCUGAGUGCUUGGGCCUAAAUCAGCAUCUACACACGCGGCCUGCAACCCUGGGUUCCAUGCAAAGGCAGUGUGGCUGAAUUGGCUGCAGGUGGAGUGAGGAGAGAGGCCAACACAGGCUCACGGUAACACUUCCACUGCCUCAGAACAAAACCCUGGAUUUCCUGACCUUCCAGCAGUCCAUGUGUAUUUUCAAAUACCAGGUUUUUCUCAGGGCACCAGGGCAAGCCGAGCAAGGCCCACACACGCUAGUCUCACACAUGUCCCCCAGCACUGCCCCCAGGUUCCCAGCCCUGCUGAGCUGUCCUCACAGACACGGACACCCUCCCUCAUAGGAGGUGCGGAGGAGCACCCAGUCCCGGUCUGAGGCCUCAGGCAAGUCCCAGCACACCCCAGGGCCUCUGUUCUCCUUAUGAGUGGGACCAGAUGGGGUCCACCAACCGUCCAAACGUGAUAUGCUGCUGUCUUCAGGGCACAUUAUCCCCAGCGUUGAUGUUCACAAUAAUCCCCUUUCUCCCCACAGACCAUCCCUCCUGGGCCCCAGGCCUCUGUGGCCUACCCUGGCCCCUUGGCAGUUGAUGGCCACUCUGCUGCUUCUGGGGGCUCCCGGGCAACUUUGGUUGUGUUGGUUUCUGGUAGCAUCUGCGCUCCAGGCAAGAAGCAACACCCUACCUUGUCUCCCCACCUCUAUGGCACAGAAAGAGAACAGACCUUGAACUCCAAAUGCCUGCUGAGGCUUGCCACAGACCUCGAAGCCUUGUUCCUAAAGGGACAGGGAAGUGGACCGUUUCGUUUCAGUGAUUCAAAGCUUGAGCUAUCUGACAUGUGACCCAGGCAGCUCUCUCGUAGGGACUGGCAGCCACAGAUAAAAUUCCCCAAUCAUUAAAAUUAUGUUAGCAAUAAUUCAGGGGAUGCAUACUAAAUAAUCUGGAUCUUUGUUAGAUGCUUACCCAUCUCAACUCAUUUAAUCCUUGAAACAACCUCACAGGGGUAGGAGGUUUUGUCACCUUAUACCCACACACACCAGCAGUGGUCAGGCAGCAACAGGUACACCCCAGCCCUGAGUACCUACUUAUUAAAAUGUGAUCCCCCAUCCUGGCUAACACGGUGAAACCCCGUCUCUACUAAAAAUACAAAAAAAAUUAGCCGGGCGUAGUGGCGG